GGGGUUCCCUGGCAGACCCAACCGGACCGCGGGAGAGAGCGAGAAGCAGGCGGGGCGUGCACGCCUUUUCCGCCCUGGGCCCGGAAGGGUGAUGUGGCUGGGGCUUCGCCGGCCUCACUAUGUCUGCCAUUUUCAAUUUUCAGAGCCUGUUGACUGUAAUCUUGCUGCUUAUAUGUACCUGUGCUUAUAUCCGAUCCUUGGCACCCAGCAUCUUGGACAAAAAUAAAACUGGAUUGUUGGGUAUAUUUUGGAAGUGUGCCAGAAUUGCUCCUCCUGUGUUCUCACUCUUUGCUGAUACUGUUAGCAGCCAUCACCAGCCAGCCAGACCAGAGACUUUGGACUCACCUUCCUCAUCCACACAGAUGAGCUCUACAUUACUCUGAAACCCGUGCAUAAAAAGACACUUGGAAUAUUUCUAUUACCAUAACCAACUCAGCUGUGAUCUAAAUGAAGAAUAUUCAGAAUUAUAAGCAUAAAAGUAUUUGCACCUAACUUCUGAGUUAAGAACAGGAAACAGCUUCCACAGAGACUCACAGAUUCAGAGUGUGAAGAUAUAUAAUGAAUUGCAAUGGAAUCAAAAUCAAAUCAAGAAGAUUGUUCUCCAUGUUCUCAUAAUUUCCUCACGGGAUGAAAUUUACUUUCUAUUUUCUUAGUUUUGGUUGCUGCUUACCUUCCCAUGGCAUUUAUAAUUUUCCUUCAAUAAAAAGUGAAAUGAACACAUA